rnacentral:lncRNA from 1 species
AGUGAGAUUUAGGAAAUCCUUCCUUAAAAUCCUCCAGCGGCUCCCUAUUGUGUACUUCACAGUUGCAUCAACCUUUCUCCACCUCAUUCUAAAGAUCAGGCAGGCCCUGUUGACAGAAGAGAAGACUCAAGCCUGAUUUGCAGAUAGCUCUGCAUAGGACACAGCUACCAGACAGAAAUGGCCAGAGGGAAGGGAAGCCCAACUUUCAUCCUUCCGGGAAUAACACCUUUCCUGGGGACAGGUUUACACUGAUUUCUGGGUGGUGUCUGGUGAUUUUGUCAGAGUGGGAAGAGCUAAUGCAAGGCAUAUAUUGGAGUUAAUCACUUUUGUGAGCAACUGAGCUCUAUCU